rnacentral:lncRNA from 1 species
CCGUAACCAUGGAGUAUCCUCAUUGUUUAACAUAAUGCUUGGGUCUUUGUUGACUAUGAAGGGCGGAAUUCGAUCAUCCCUUUCGUAAUCGCCUGACAUGUCUGACUUGUCCUCAAUUCCGACAAUGUUUCUUUUCCCAGAAAGGACAAUGUGGCGCUUUGGCUCAUUGAUGAUUGAGUGGUCAUCAUUUUUUCCUCUCUUUGGUUUUGUAGACAUAUCUUUGACAUAGAACACCUGACUCACGUCUGCAGCA